CCUGCCUCGGGAGGCAGCAGUGUGGAAUAUUGGGCAAUGAGCGCAAGCCUGACCCAGCAACGCCGCGUGAAGGAAGAAGGCUUUCGGGUUGUAAACUUCUUUUCUCAGGGACGAAGCAAGUGACGGUACCUGAGGAAUAAGCCACGGCUAACUACGUGCCAGCAGCCGCGGUAAUACGUAGGUGGCAAGCGUUAUCCGGAUUUACUGGGUGUAAAGGGCGUGUAGGCGGGGACGCAAGUCAGAUGUGAAAACC
rnacentral:rRNA from 1 species